rnacentral:snRNA from 1 species
AUAGCCAAAGAGACUGCC